rnacentral:rRNA from 1 species
CGCGCAGGCGGUUUUCUAAGUCCUUUGUGAAACUCCGGGGCUCAACCCCGGACAUGCAGCGGAAACUGGAAGACUAGAGACCGGUAGAGGCUGGCGGAAUUCCUGGUGUAGCGGUGGAAUGCGUAGAUAUCAGGAAGAACACCGGUGGCGAAGGCGGCCAGCUGGGCCGGGUCUGACGCUCAUGUGCGAAAGCGUGGGGAGCAAACAGGAUUAGAUACCCUGGUAGUCC